UACGUAGGGGGCUAGCGUUGUCCGGAAUCAUUGGGCGUAAAGCGCUCGCAGGUGGUCCGUCGCGUCGUGCGUGAAAGCCCCCGGCUCAACUGGGGAGUGUCGUGCGAUACGGGCGGACUGGAGGCCAGUAGGGGGAUGCGGAAUUCCGGGUGUAGUGGUGGAAUGCGUAGAGAUCCGGAGGAACACCAGCGGCGAAGGCGGCAUCCUGGACUGGUCCUGACACUCAUGAGCGAAAGCGUGGGGAGCGAUCCGG
rnacentral:rRNA from 1 species